GACGAACGCUGGCGGCACGCUUAACACAUGCAAGUCGAACGAGGUCCAUGGAGCUUGCUCCAGAAGACCGAGUGGCGAACGGGUGCGUAACACGUGAGAAACCUGCCCCAAACUUGGGAAUAACAGUCGGAAACGACUGCUAAUACCGAAUACCUUCGCGACGUCGCAUGGCGAUGUGAAGAAAGCUUUUGCGGUUUGGGAGGGUCUCGCGACCUAUCAGCUUGUUGGUGAGGUAACGGCUCACCAAGGCAUCGACGGGUAGCUGGUCUGAGAGGAUGAUCAGCCACACUGGGACUGAGACACGGCCCAGACUCCUACGGGAGGCAGCAGUGGGGAAUAUUGCACAAUGGGCGCAAGCCUGAUGCAGCGAUGCCGCGUGCGGGAUGAAGGCCCUAGGGUUGUAAACCGCUUUCAGUAGGGAAGAAAAUGACGGUACCUACAGAAGAAGGUGCGGCCAACUACGUGCCAGCAGCCGCGGUGACACGUAGGCACCAAGCGUUGUCCGGAUUUAUUGGGCGUAAAGAGCUCGUAGGCGGUUCAGUUAGUCGGGUAUGAAAACUCUGGGCUCAACCCAGAGACGCUACCCGAUACUGCUGUGACUAG
rnacentral:rRNA from 1 species